CUUGGCCAGAUCAAUGAAUACGGCUGCACAGUAUUGUCUCUUAUCGAUGGCGGUUAUGAUAUCGUUUAGGACCUUGAGCGUGGCUGAGGUAUACCCGUGACCAGCUCUGAAACCAGAUUGCAUAGCGGAAAAGGUAAGGUGGGAUUCGAAAUGGUCGGUGAUCUGUUUGUUAACUUGGCUUUCGAACACCUUAGAAAGGCAGGGCAGGAUGGAUAUAGGUCUGUAACAGUUUGGGUCUAGAGGCAGGGCAGGAUGGAUAUAGGUCUGUAACAGUUUGGGUCUAGAGGCAGGGCAGGAUGGAUAUAGGUCUGUAACAGUUUG
ensembl:lncRNA